CCAAUACAAACCAAGAUAUUGUCAUUUAGAUUUCACACACGGCGAGCGUUGGUGUUUUUAGUGGAAGAGUGUUGAAAAAACUGUAUACCACGGUCUAGAUUUCGGCAAACAGCCUCGCCGGAUUGCAGCUACUAUCUUAAGUUUUUCAUCGCGCGGCUUCAAUAAAUGCCCGGGGUGGGAUUGGAUGGAAAAAAAACUGAUGAGAUCUUGGAAAAGAACCUACUCCCUAGCAGCAGUCCUCCUUAAGAUUCUUGUUCUUCACACAACCACGUAAUUCUGUGGAACAUCACAUUCAUCCAAACAAAAUGAAAUGGUUGGUGUUCUACGGUUUAGAAC
ensembl:ncRNA C32A9.5 ncRNA